rnacentral:rRNA from 1 species
ACUCUGGUAUUGAUUGGUGCUUGCAUCAUGAUUUACAUUUGAGUGAGUGGCGAACUGGUGAGUAACACGUGGGAAACCUGCCCAGAAGCGGGGGAUAACACCUGGAAACAGAUGCUAAUACCGCAUAACAACUUGGACCGCAUGGUCCGAGUUUGAAAGAUGGCUUCGGCUAUCACUUUUGGAUGGUCCCGCGGCGUAUUAGCUAGAUGGUGGGGUAACGGCUCACCAUGGCAAUGAUACGUAGCCGACCUGAGAGGGUAAUCGGCCACAUUGGGACUGAGACACGGCCCAAACUCCUACGGGAGGCAGCAGUAGGGAAUCUUCCACAAUGGACGAAAGUCUGAUGGAGCAACGCCGCGUGAGUGAAGAAGGGUUUCGGCUCGUAAAACUCUGUUGUUAAAGAAGAACAUAUCUGAGAGUAACUGUUCAGGUAUUGACGGUAUUUAACCAGAAAGCCACGGCUAACUACGUGCCAGCAGCCGCGGUAAUACGUAGGUGGCAAGCGUUGUCCGGAUUUAUUGGGCGUAAAGCGAGCGCAGGCGGUUUUUUAAGUCUGAUGUGAAAGCCUUCGGCUCAACCGAAGAAGUGCAUCGGAAACUGGGAAACUUGAGUGCAGAAGAGGACAGUGGAACUCCAUGUGUAGCGGUGAAAUGCGUAGAUAUAUGGAAGAACACCAGUGGCGAAGGCGGCUGUCUGGUCUGUAACUGACGCUGAGGCUCGAAAGUAUGGGUAGCAAACAGGAUUAGAUACCCUGGUAGUCCAUACCGUAAACGAUGAAUGCUAAGUGUUGGAGGGUUUCCGCCCUUCAGUGCUGCAGCUAACGCAUUAAGCAUUCCGCCUGGGGAGUACGGCCGCAAGGCUGAAACUCAAAGGAAUUGACGGGGGCCCGCACAAGCGGUGGAGCAUGUGGUUUAAUUCGAAGCUACGCGAAGAACCUUACCAGGUCUUGACAUACUAUGCAAAUCUAAGAGAUUAGACGUUCCCUUCGGGGACAUGGAUACAGGUGGUGCAUGGUUGUCGUCAGCUCGUGUCGUGAGAUGUUGGGUUAAGUCCCGCAACGAGCGCAACCCUUAUUAUCAGUUGCCAGCAUUAAGUUGGGCACUCUGGUGAGACUGCCGGUGACAAACCGGAGGAAGGUGGGGAUGACGUCAAAUCAUCAUGCCCCUUAUGACCUGGGCUACACACGUGCUACAAUGGAUGGUACAACGAGUUGCGAACUCGCGAGAGUAAGCUAAUCUCUUAAAGCCAUUCUCAGUUCGGAUUGUAGGCUGCAACUCGCCUACAUGAAGUCGGAAUCGCUAGUAAUCGCGGAUCAGCAUGCCGCGGUGAAUACGUUCCCGGGCCUUGUACACACCGCCCGUCACACCAUGAGAGUUUGUAACACCCAAAGUCGGUGGGGUAACCUUUUAGGAACCAG